UUUAACACAUCUCUUUUGAGAGUGUAUUGACCUACAGUCAUUUUAACAUUACUGUACAGACAUGGAAAGUAAAUGGGAUCAGGUGCAUGCCCUCCUGACAGAAGGCACAUACCCCUCGGGGUAUGGAAAAAGUCAGAGGCAAAACCUGAGGAGAUAUGCCUCCAAAUUCAGAGUAAGGGGUUAGUAUCACAAGUCUAUGAUGCAUGUUAUUUAGAAUACUGUAUGUGGCGAUAACGCAUUAUUAAAGUAAUGUAUCAUUAACAGAAAAAGAUCUCUGGUUUGGUAGUAAGAAGGUGGUGAAAAAGAGGGAGGAAGCCAGGAGACUUUUCAUGGAGUUCCAUUCCUCCCCCAUGGGAGGUCAUACUGGCAUCCUUAAAACAUGGGCAGCAAUCUCUUCCAGGUUCUACUGGACCGGGAUGUCUGUAUACAUAAAAAAUUGGAUCUUAGAAUGUGACAGAUGCCAAAAGGUUGGAAAACCACUGACUGCAGUGGGGGAGUUGCAGCCGAUAAAGGUCUCUGGCGUGUGGGAUUUGAUUGGGAUCGACCUUACUGGACCACUUCCCAAAACUGUCAAUGGCUUUCAAUACAUUUUGACAGCUACUGAUUUUUUUUCCAAGUGGGUGGAAGCUUUUCCACUCAAGUCCAAAUCAGCUGCAGAAGUUGCAAGAUUUAUUCACGUUUUCAUAAAGUUAAUAAAUAUAUUUUGCCACACUUUUUCUUUGUAUUUGUUUUAAUGAAGGAACUCUGGGCGGCUAAAGACCGCGGCAAAGUUGAAGUAGUUGUUGGACCAUAUUCACUGUACUGUAAUAAUUUGCUACCACCCUGAACACAGAGGAAGCAGAUA